rnacentral:miRNA from 1 species
UCUCUAGUUGUAGGACGUCCAUUCA